rnacentral:tRNA from 3 species
AUUUAAAUAGCUUAAAUUAAAGCAUAAUAUUGAAGAUAUUAAGAUAACAUAAGUUUUUAAAUA